GGCAUCACCAAUUUCCAGUCUGUGCCUCCUCCUACGUCAAUUCCACUUCCACCUCCCAAAAUUCUGACCAUUGCGGCUGUCACAUUACUGCUCCAAGGGUGUACCACAUCAUUUCCCGUUUCCACCAGAAGAGUUUCGUGUGGCAUUUUGCAGCCGCAUUCUGAUGUUGUUGUUACCUUAAUGGCAUCCAUAUUAACCACCGGAAACAUUACUACAGCUAUAUUGGGCCUCCUGCUGACCUUAAUAGUCCACUUACACUUUACUACACUUUACUAAAUUGCUUACUUCCACCAGAA